CAACUCAUCAACCCUGUGAACAUACCUAAAACGUUGCUUCGGCGGGAACAGACGGCCCUGUAACAACGGGCCGCCCCCGCCAGAGGACCCCUAACUCUGUUUUUAUAAUGUUUUUCUGAGUAAACAAGCAAAUAAAUUAAAACUUUCAACAACGGAUCUCUUGGCUCUGGCAUCGAUGAAGAACGCAGCGAAAUGCGAUAAGUAAUGUGAAUUGCAGAAUUCAGUGAAUCAUCGAAUCUUUGAACGCACAUUGCGCCCGCCAGUAUUCUGGCGGGCAUGCCUGUUCGAGCGUCAUUACAACCCUCAGGCCCCCGGGCCUGGCGUUGGGGAUCGGCGGAAGCCCCCUGUGGGCACACGCCGUCCCUCAAAUACAGUGGCGGUCCCGCCGCAGCUUCCAUUGCGUAGUAGCUAACACCUCGCAACUGGAGAGCGGCGCGGCCAUGCCGUAAAACACCCAACUUCUGAAUGUUGACCUCGAAUCAGGUAGGAAUACCCGCUGAACUUAAGCAUAUCAAUAAGCGGAGGAA
rnacentral:rRNA from 1 species